GUAUUCGGGUUGAUCGGGUUC
rnacentral:siRNA from 1 species